AGACCAUUAGUCUAACGGAUAGAAUACUUCGCUACGAACGAAGAGAUAUGGGUUCGACUCCUAUAUGGUCUA
rnacentral:tRNA from 1 species